rnacentral:rRNA from 1 species
GCAGGCUUACACAUGCAAGUCGAGGGGUAUAGUUCUUCGGAACUAGAGACCGGCGCACGGGUGCGUAACGCGUAUGCAAUCUACCUUUCACAAAGGGAUAGCCCAGAGAAAUUUGGAUUAAUACCUUAUAGUAUAACGACUUCGCAUGGAGAUGUUAUUAAAGAUUUAUCGGUGAAAGAUGAGCAUGCGUCCCAUUAGCUAGUUGGNAAGGUAACGGCUUACCAAGGCUACGAUGGGUAGGGGUCCUGAGAGGGAGAUCCCCCACACUGGUACUGAGCAGGGAACCAANACUNNUACGGGAGGCAGCAGUGAGGAAUAUUGGUCAAUGGGCGCAAGCCUGAACCAGCCAUGCCGCGUGCAGGAUGACGGUCCUAUGGAUUGUAAACUGCUUUUGUACAGGAAGAAACACUCCCUCGUGAGGGAGCUUGACGGUACUGUAAGAAUAAGGAUCGGCUAACUCCGUGCCAGCAGCCGCGGUAAUACGGAGGAUCCAAGCGUUAUCCGGAAUCAUUGGGUUUAAAGGGUCCGUAGGCGGCUUAAUAAGUCAGUGGUGAAAGCCCUACGCUUAACGUAGGAACGGCCAUUGAUACUGUUAGGCUUGAAUUAUUAGGAAGUAACUAGAAUAUGUAGUGUAGCGGUGAAAUGCUUAGAGAUUACAUGGAAUACCAAUUGCGAAGGCAGGUUACUACUAAUGGAUUGACGCUGAUGGACGAAAGCGUGGGUAGCGAACAGGAUAGAUACCCUGGUAGUCNCGCCGUAAACGAUGGAUACUAGCUGUNGAAGCANUUCAGUG